UGGGGAAUAUUGCACAAUGGGCGAAAGCCUGAUGCAGCAACGCCGCGUGAGUGAUGAAGGCCUUCGGGUUGUAAAGCUCUGUCUUUUGGGACGAUAAUGACGGUACCAAAGGAGGAAGCCACGGCUAACUACGUGCCAGCAGCCGCGGUAAUACGUAGGUGGCAAGCGUUGUCCGGAUUUACUGGGCGUAAAGGAUGCGUAGGCGGAUUUUUAAGUGACGAUGUGAAAUACCCGGGCUUAACUUGGGUGCUGCAUUUCAAACUGGGAAUCUAGGAGUGCGGGAGAGGAGAAUGGAAUUCCUAGGUGUAGCGGUGAAAGUGCGUAGAAGAUUAGGAAGAACACCAGUGGCGAAGG
rnacentral:rRNA from 1 species